CUGCCCUUGGGUCCGGCAUAACCCCGGGAAACUGGGGAUAAUUCCGGAUAACGCACAUAUGCUGGAAUGCUUUAUGCGUCAAAUGGAUUCGUCUGCCCAAGGAUGGGUCUGCGGCCUAUCAGGUAGUAGUGGGUGUAAUGUACCUACUAGCCGACGACGGGUACGGGUUGUGAGAGCAAGAGCCCGGAGAUGGAUUCUGAGACAUGAAUCCAGGCCCUACGGGGCGCAGCAGGCGCGAAAACUUUACAAUGCGGGAAACCGUGAUAAGGGGACACCGAGUGCCAGCAUCAUAUGCUGGCUGUCCGGGUGUGUAAAAUACACCCGUUAGCAAGGGCCGGGCAAGACCGGUGCCAGCCGCCGCGGUAACACCGGCGGCCCGAGUGGUGAUCGUGAUUAUUGGGUCUAAAGGGUCCGUAGCCGGUUUGGUCAGUCCUCCGGGAAAUCUGACGGCUUAACCGUUAGGCUUUCGGAGGAUACUGCCAGGCUUGGAACCGGGAGAGGUAAGAGGUACUACAGGGGUAGGAGUGAAAUCUUGUAAUCCCUGUGGGACC
rnacentral:rRNA from 1 species